rnacentral:pre_miRNA from 1 species
GACUCCAAUUGAAAAAGUCAAGAAUAACAAAGUUGAAUAACUCAUCAAGAUCUACAACUUUUAUUUUGGUUAUUUUUUCAUCCGAUAAAGUGAUUAUAAUAUUGUUCAGAAAUUUACAAAUCUCUCAUAGUGUUUCAUAGAACUAUAAGAGAGAGAUGAAAAAUUUGUGAACAAUGGUCAUAUCAGUUUCUCGGAUAAUGAAAUGACCAAAAUAAAAGUUGUAGAUUUUGAUGAGUUAUUCAACUUAGGUUUUCUUGACUUUUUCAUUUGAAGUC